GUACAGAAGGGAGCAAUCUCUUCCUCCGCCCCGUCCAGAGUUCUCCGUGGUCGCCAUUCUGUCCUGAGCAGACACCGAAGUUGCUUUAAGGAUAUGAGAUAUGAGACUUGGAAGGUCACUUAAUGAAGACAAGCUUUAAUAAGCACCAUAAGGCAUUAAACAUUGCACUACCCAGAACACAGAUGCGGUUCCUGACCUCCCAGAGCCUGGGUCUAAAGGACACAAAGACGGUCACAGAGGGCAGAUGACAGAAUUUGCACAACCGUAAUUUUGGUCAAGACCGGAGAGAUUCUAAUGUAAGAAGAUAGUUUAAUUUUCAUUCUGAUUGGACCACAAGGAGACGAGUCAGAUGAAAUAGCCCUUCAGGUAAAUCCUAAUACUCAAGAUAAGAAGUGCAUAUAAUCCAUCCUGCUCCCCUUGUUGCUUCGAAUGCCAGGGAGCUCAAAACGAACUACACUGUUGAGUUAAAAUAUAAUAUUAGCCUAGGACACUGUUUCAGUUACCUACUGUUGUCAACAAACUACCCCUAAACUUAGUGGCUCGGAACAGUUUAUUUUUACCUUUCAUGGGUCAGUGAGUUGCUAGGACUCAGCCGGGCAGUUCUGG